UAACAUAGCCUCGAUCCCAGGCCGAGUUUUCGCUUUUAUAACGGUUAGGCGAACAACUGGGCCUGGUACUAGUUGUCUGCGCAUGCGUCAGUCGUUUGUCAGAUUCUGACAAAUGGAUAUUCUCGUUCACUUUCGUGACAUUUAUAUUCGUGUACUAUUGUGUACUAGAAGUCAGUUCCCGUUUUAUCAUUAUUGGAAUCGAUUGGAAUGGCUCUUAGCUGAAGCUUCUCUCUUCUCUGAAGCUUAUUCUGAAGACUGAACAACAAGGGAAGAGGUAUAAAGCUUUGUCAAGCUUGUUAAGGAGCAAUGGCUAAUAUCCAGCUAUCCCAACAGUGCUCCUCUUGGCUAUACUAACGGACGAGACUGGACAGUUUGAGACACAGGACUGAAGUAUGACCUGCUCAUUCGAGCGUUGCUGGGUAGCUCAGAGACAUCAAGAGAAUCUACGUUUUCUCAAGCAAUGAGUUACGAGUUGGGGCCUAGAAUCAGAGAAGUCCAGCAGCCUGCUAAAUCUUUUUGAAACGUAAUUUGAAGGCAUUCAAUCAUCCUGAAGUUGCCCUGGGUCACUGUAAUUGUGCUGCAGCACAACUGGCAACUCCCCAGGCCUUUGUGAAGCAGCUCCCUAUGUGCAUCUUUUGUGUACUCACUCUGUGCAUUUUCUGUGUACAAAUUUCUAUUAUUGAUUUAUUAAAUA